AAUUACUCUAAUAAUGCUAAUGAUACCUGUUAGGUAUUUUGCAUACUACACACGUAGAAGAGUUUGAAUCUCAGAUAAAAACAAAUGCAUCAAAAGUCUUUAAUAUCAGCGCAGAUUCAAUCAUGUCGUACAUGAGAGAUUGGAUCGGAGACGUGUUCUGAGUUGGUCAUGGUGAAGGAGGCAAGGUGACGAUUCUAGUGAGAACAAUUUCCAGGAAGCCAUGUUCCUCUCUUGACCGAACACCCCCUGGGCCUCAUGCAAGGUGGAAAGAGCCUGCGUGCGUCACCGUCCCAUGAUGUGGUCAGCAUGUAAACUGCACGGGCAGGGCCCCUCACAACAUCCUGUGCGCUGCUGAAGGGAGCUGGGGCGCGGCCGCCGGUCUGCACAGGCAGCACCAUGUCACUCAUGGUCAUCAGCAUGGCGUGUGUCGGGUUCUUCUUGGUCCAGAGGGCCUGGCCACAUGAGGGUGGUCAGGACGAGCCCUUCCUGUCUGCCUGGCCCAGCGCUGUGGUGUCUCUAGGAGGACAUGUGACUCUUCGGUGUCACUAUGGUGGUGGGUUUAACAACUUCACCCUGUACAAAGAAGACAGAUUCCACGUACCCAUCCUCAACGGCGUUAUAUUCCAUGAGAGCUUCCUCAUGGGCCCGGUGACUG
rnacentral:lncRNA from 1 species